ACGGAGGGUGCAAGCAUUAAUCGGAUUUAUUGGGCGUAAAGGGGGCGCAGGCGGGAAUAUAAGUCAGACGUGAAAUCCCAGGGCUCAACCCUGGAACUGCGUUUGAAACUAUAUUUCUUGAGGCAGGGAGGGGAAAACGGAAUUCCACAUGUAGCGGUGAAAUGCGUAGAUAUGAGGAAGAACACCGGUGGCGAAGGCGAUUCGCUAGGUCUGCACUGACGCUGAGGCCCGAAAGCAAGGGGAGCGAACAG
rnacentral:rRNA from 1 species